UGGAGGCUUGCAUCAGGAGUCCUGUGUGACAAGAAAAUUCCACACAAACUCAAGGGGAAAUUCUAUAGAGCCUGGUUAGACCCGCGAUGUUGUAUGGGGCGGAGUGCUGGCCCAUGAAGAACUCUCAUGUUCAAAGAAUGAAGGUUGUGGAGAUGAGGAUGCUUAGGUGGAUGUGCGGUCACACCAGGCUAGAUAAGUUGCGGAGAUGAGGAUGCUCAGGUGGAUGUGCGGGCACAUCAUGUUAGAUAAGAUUAAGAAUGAAGUUAUUCGAGAGAAGGUGGGGGUGACCCCGGUAGAUGAGAAGAUGCGAGAAGCGAGGCUGAUGUGGUUCGGGCAUGUGCGGAGGAGAAGUCCCGAUGUCCCGGUGAGGAGUUGUGAGCGGCUGGAGAUUGUUGGCGGUCGGCGAGGCAGAGGGAGGCCUAAGAAGUAUUGGGGAGAGGUGAUUUGGCAGGACAUGACUAGAAUGCAGGUUUCCGAGGACAUGACUCGGGAUAGGAAAGUCUGGAGGUC
rnacentral:lncRNA from 1 species